ACUGCCAAACAGAGACUGUCCUGCAUAUAGAGGUGCAGGUCAUAACCCUCAUUGAGACUUGAACCAGGUUUCCAAUAAUACAUAGGAUGUUGGAAUUGUACAUCUGGUGAAAUGCCUGGAUUUAAUCUCCUUUACUGAAUAUGCUAUGGGCAGUAAGGUGAAUAAUUGUCAAACCUGUCAAGUUUGUCCACACUGGCUCAAAAGGAGCGGAUACGAGUUAACACAGGGCAGAUCAAGGUAUCUUGGAAGAGCAGGUCUGCUUUACAGGACAAAGAUCUAACUGAGCCUGGGUACCGUAUCUGCAACUGAGGCACAGGACACCACCACCCCACCAUCCGCCCAUCAUGGGCAUGCUUCACCAUGUUGGGUGUGGUGGCUCCGCCCCAUGAGCGGACCACAGCAGAGCAGCCUGAAAAGCCACUACCCUGAGCUUCAGAACCUGGCGAUUACUGCACUGGAGAAGUGGUGGUGCCCAUAAUCACAACCUCCUGCAGCGAGUGCAAGUCAGCUAUAACCACUAAAUGCCAGAUGCUUCAACCCCCUCAACAUCAGAGUCCACCCACCCAAAUGCCCUGGAGCAGGGCUCCUUAUGACGUCCUUUGGGCCCAUGUUGAGUGUGGAGAUUGUCCUGCAUCCUCCAUCAUCCAUCCUUUUGUAUACAAAUCCAAUCUCUGCACAUUUCCAUAACUCCUCCCCAUCCCCAGUUGUCCAUUCUCUGUUUGCUUGUCUCCCUUUCCAUUUGUGAACCCAGUCUAAUGUGUGACUACCCAUGUCUGUCUUCUCUGUCUCUGUAUGUUAUUUUCAAUACCCUUAUGUUUUCCCUAACUGUCAUUCCUUCCCUUAGUACCCUUUAUCAUCUUCCCUUAUCCAUGUACAUAUAUCUAUAUCUCUAUUUAUGUUUGCUUAUCCACAUAAAAAAUACACAUCCUCUUCCAUUACAGUCCUCUUAUAUCAUCCUGCCCUGUCCUGUCCUCUUUUUCCUACUUUCCUAUUUUUUGCUGUUCCAUACUUAUAAGUCUAAAAAUUAGUGUCUAGAAAACGACAACUGUAGAGUAAGGCUGCUGGAAAACUUAGUAUAAUCUGAUAGUAAGUGGCAUUGAGUUACAGUAAGUACAGCUUCUUGCAAUGUUGCAAUAUUAGUGUAAACAGCACUUAUUGUCAAUUUAUGAAAAUAUAAAUAUGUACUUGGGAGCUUAUGAAUAUAGUCAACAAUUUCACAUGCAAAAUAUGCACACAUUCUUGCAUAGUUCACAGCUGAUUUUACAGAGUUUCAGCUCUGCAGAGUUUGUGUUUCUGUGUAGGCUUCACAGAUAUGAAAAUCAGAGCUGCUAGUUCACAUUUAAUUAAUUUACAUGUAGGUGAAGCGGUGUGUUUCACACAUUCACCAAGCAGAUUUGUGCAGAGCAGGACUAUGAAUAGCAUUCUUAGUAUCCUGCCCUCUUAGACUGAGUGCAAAUCAUGUAAAAUUGUGUAACUUAUAGCACCUCUUCUCUGAGCGUGGUGGUAAAUGAAAGAAGUUUAUUGCAUGUUAUAGUGAAAUAAAGGCAUAAGCUUUCA